CCUACGGGGUGCAGCAGUGGGGAAUAUUGCACAAUGGGGGAAACCCUGAUGCAGCGACGCCGCGUGAGUGAAGAAGUAUUUCGGUAUGUAAAGCUCUAUCAGCAGGGAAGAAAUAAAGUCCUUCGGACUUUGGACGGUACCUGACUAAGAAGCCCCGGCUAACUACGUGCCAGAAGCCGCGGUAAGACGUAGGGGGCAAGCGUUAUCCGGAUUUACUGGGGGUAAAGGGAGAGUAGACGGCAGGGAAAUUCUGGAGUGAAAUCCCAUGGCUUAACCAUGGAACUGCUUUGGAAACUGUGCAGCUGGAGUGCAGGAGAGGUAAGAGGAAUUUCUAGUGUAGCGGUGAAAUGCGUAGAUAUUAGGAGGAACACCAGUGGCGAAGGCGGCUUACUGGACUGUAACUGACGUUGAGGCUCGAAAGCGUGGGGAGCAAACAGGAUUAGAUACCCGAGUAGUC
rnacentral:rRNA from 1 species